CAAAGGCCAUUCUGCAAUGAUGAAGGGGGAUGAUUGAAAAGGGCUCAGCGUGAUACCUCCGUCUGCUGUUGGCAAAGCUUUAAGACUGCUGGGAACUCAGACGAAAGCAUCCUCAGGCUUGGAGAGCUGGACUAAACUGGUCUAACUAGGACACUUGAAGGCUUGUGAAUCAGUUCACAUGAUCAGUGUGAAAGCGGGUAUGAAGAUCCAGAUGCUGGUGUGGACGUGUGCAUGUAAGCACUCACAGAGGACACAGGUAUGAACUCAGAAGGGGUGGAUAUGCGGGUAUUCUUCACUCUCAAGCAAACCCCACAUGACAGAAAGUUCUUGCUACCAGCCAGGA